GACGAACGCUGGCGGCGUGCUUAACACAUGCAAGUCGAGCGGAAAGGCCACUUCGGUGGUACUCGAGCGGCGAACGGGUGAGUAACACGUGAGUAAUCUGCCCCUGGCUUUGGGAUAGCCACCGGAAACGGUGAUUAAUACCGGAUACGACAACUUCUUGCAUGAGAUGGUUGUGGAAAGUUUUUCGGCCAGGGAUGUGCUCGCGGCCUAUCAGCUUGAUGGUGAGGUAAUGGCUCACCAUGGCUUCGACGGGUAGCCGGCCUGAGAGGGUGACCGGCCACACUGGGACUGAGACACGGCCCAGACUCCUACGGGAGGCAGCAGUGGGGAAUAUUGGACAAUGGGCGGAAGCCUGAUCCAGCAACGCCGCGUGAGGGAUGACGGCCUUCGGGUUGUAAACCUCUUUCAGUAGGGACGAAGCGAAAGUGACGGUACCUACAGAAGAAGGACCGGCCAACUACGUGCCAGCAGCCGCGGUAAUACGUAGGGUCCGAGCGUUGUCCGGAAUUAUUGGGCGUAAAGGGCUCGUAGGCGGUCUGUCACGUCGGGAGUGAAAACUCAGGGCUCAACCCUGAGCGUGCUUCCGAUACGGGCGGACUAGAGGUAUGCAGGGGAGAACGGAAUUCCUGGUGUAGCGGUGGAAUGCGCAGAUAUCAGGAGGAACACCGGUGGCGAAGGCGGUUCUCUGGGCAUUACCUGACGCUGAGGAGCGAAAGCAUGGGGAGCGAACAGGAUUAGAUACCCUGGUAGUCCAUGCCGUAAACGUUGGGCACUAGUGUGGGGACCNUCCACGGUCUCCGUGCCGCAGCUAACGCAUUAAGUGCCCCGCCUGGGAGUACGGCCGCAGAAUGAA
rnacentral:rRNA from 1 species